GACUCGAUGGCUCAAUAGGUAGAGCGGCGGUCUAGAUACCCGAAGAUGCGAGUUCAAAUCCCGCUCGAGCCA
rnacentral:tRNA from 1 species